GGCAGGUCGCAGACGUUGAUGUCGAACUCCAGGCGCUGCUUCCACACGGGCUCCGAGCACACGUUCACCUCGGAGCUGGACACCGUCUUGCACAGCGUCUCGUUGCCGUGGAACAGCCCCGCCUGCACCACCAGCUGGCGAAGCUAGGAGCCUAUGUGGUUGGGAAGGAUUGACCGCUGCGUGAACACCGGCCCUGCCUCCUCCAGCUCUGCCGUGACAGCCCAGCCAGAAAGCUGCCUUCGCCCGGUACCCCAGGAUUGCACCAGGGGAACCCAGACCUGCCUGCCUGUGAAACGACCCUGACAAAAGGGCUCCCCAAAGAGACCCAGGCCACAGUCACCUUGUUUGUGCAAAAAAACACCCACUCCCCCUUCCGGCUCAGGAGCUCCUACCUUCAUCCGCUCGUCGGCGUUCACUUUGC